AUGAAGACCAUUCUCAGCAGUCAGACUGUUGACAUUCCAGAAAAUGCAACAGCACUCAGAAGGCGUGUGCAGUCAUUGUGAAGGGCCCCAGAGGAACUCCUGUGGAGGGACUUCAAUCACUUCAAUGUAGAGCUGAGUCUCCUCAGAAAGAAAAAGAAGAGGCUCCAGGUUGACAAAUGGUGGGGUAACAGAAAGGACCUGGCCACUGUCAGAACCAUCUGCAGUCAUGUUCAGAACAUGAUCAAGGGUGCUACGCUGGGCUUCCAUUACAAGAUGAGGUCCGUCUAUGCUCACUUCCCCAUCAAUGGCGUUAUUCGGGAGAAUGGGUCUUUGGUUGAAAUCCGAAAUUUCUUGGGUGAAAAACACAUCCACAGAGUUCAGAUGAGGAUGGGUGUUGCUUGUUCUGUCUCUCAAGCCCAGAAGGAUGAAUUAAUCCUUGAAGGAAAUGAUAUUGAACUUGUUUCAAAUUCAGAGGUUCUCGGAAGAGCGUCUGUGCGGCGCGCGCACGGCGCUCGCACCCGGACCGGACCGGUGCCCCGGAGCCCGAAGACGGCGGCGGGGGCGGAGGCUACGGCCGGACGCCUGUGCGCGCUCGGCGCCAGCUCCGCUGUGGCGCACUCGCUUUUCCCCCACCCCCGCCCGGUGGCUGGGCGCUGGCGCGGUUCCCUCGCCGUCCCGCGGCCGCUGGAAAUAGAGCCGGGAUGUUGUUUACAUGACGGAUCCGGCGGGAGGAGUCUGCGAGGAGGAGGCGGAGAGAGGAAGAACGGAGUCCCGGCGGCGGCGGUGGCGGGCCAGGGUGCGGGCGAGCGCCGCUCGGACCCCGAAGCCGGGACACGGGAGCCUAGGAAGUGCAUCUUUCAGUCCUUCACUCCAAGGGGCACCUUCGAAGGGGGUGACGUCACUGCGGACAUGGUGACUGACAGGCUGCCCUGGCUCAGUUAUCACAGUGCUGAUGCUGUCCAUUCUAAAGGUACAGUACUGUGAUAACUGAAGGAUGGCAGCCAUCUUGCCUUCCUCCCGAGAAGUCUCAUCACAGAAGGCGAAUGGAAAGCAGGACACCAGGACCAGACACACCAGUCACGCCCACCACUCCUGUGUUCACCUCUCUUCUAGGCUGCAUUUGGUAACAGGGAAUAAAACAACAUAGUGGUUUGCCUGGGAUGUGAAGAUGGCUAUGCUGAGGACAUACAAGGUCUGUGGAACCUUUUGUGUCUUGGAAGAUUGAUACUAGGAAAGUCCUAAGGACAAAUCAAUAUAGGGUAGUAUUGAGAGAAAUGAUCCAUUUUAUAAACAAAAAAAAAAAAGUAACUUGAUUGACAGCUUUGCAUUUGAUACUUCAGUGUUAGAUGUUCAGAGUUAAACAGGGAAUGGCAUUAUGUGUCCAACACUAUCAAUGUCAUAUGAAUAAAAUAAUAUCUGUGACUAA